rnacentral:snRNA from 1 species
AGCAUUGUGCAGCAGCAAUAUCGUAGACAGAGAGGUUUAUCUGAGGCACAAUUAUUGCUAAGUGAAACAAUCGAGUAAAGUGUACUGCUAUAAUCUAAAUUUUUAUUUCUCUCUACCUGAUUUUUCCAAAUUUGGAAACUAUUUGCGAAUA